rnacentral:rRNA from 1 species
GAUGAACGCUGGCGGCGUGCCUAAUACAUGCAAGUCGAGCGAACAGACGAGGAGCUUGCUCCUCUGACGUUAGCGGCGGACGGGUGAGUAACACGUGGAUAACCUACCUAUAAGACUGGGAUAACUUCGGGAAACCGGAGCUAAUACCGGAUAAUAUAUUGAACCGCAUGGUUCAAUAGUGAAAGACGGUUUUGCUGUCACUUAUAGAUGGAUCCGCGCCGCAUUAGCUAGUUGGUAAGGUAACGGCUUACCAAGGCAACGAUGCGUAGCCGACCUGAGAGGGUGAUCGGCCACACUGGAACGGAGACACGGUCCAGACUCCUACGGGAGGCAGCAGUAGGGAAUCUGCCGCAAUGGGCGAAAGCCUGACGGAGCAACGCCGCGUGAGUGAUGAAGGUCUUCGGAUCGUAAAACUCUGUUAUUAGGGAAGAACAAAUGUGUAAGUAACUAUGCACGUCUUGACGGUAACUAAUCAGAAAGCCACGGCUAACUACGUG